AGCCGUGUAGUUGAUAUUGUAGACUAUUGAGAUGGAGCCGUGCAGUUGAUAUUGUAGACUAUUGAGAUGGAGCCGUGCAGUUGACUAUGAUUCCACCUGGUGGCCAUGUUGGAAGACCACCGCAUUAAUUUUUCCGACAACAGCUGACUGGCUACCGGAAAGAACAUGAUAACAGUGACUAAAACUAUUUGAUUCAUCAGUAUUUGGCUGCUCUAACAUGGCAGAAAAAAUAUGUUUAUGGAUUCCCCGCAAUCAUGAAACACUAUUGGUGACGCCACGGAGAUAAUACUCAAGAACUGUCAGAAAAGUGAAGAAACCUUUUUGCCUGUCAAGACCUGAACCCAGACAACUGUCAGUACAGGGUCUGCUACGAUCAUUUCAUCACUGGUUCACCAGCUGACCUCUGUCAAGACACCGACGUCGUCUGGAGUCCCCCUGUGAAGAUGUGCAAUGCUGCAGCAGCCUCAGUUUCCCCCCCUGUGAAGAUGAGCAAUGCUGCAGCAGCCUCAGUUUCCCCUCCUGUGAAGAUGAGCAAUGCUGCAGCAGCCUCAGUUUCCCCCUGUGAAGAUGAGCAAUGCUGCAGUAGCCAGUUUCCCCUCCUGUGAAGAUGAGCAAUGCUGCAGCAGCCUCAGUUUCCCCCUGUGAAGAUGUGCAAUGCUGCAGCAGCCUCAGUUUCCCCCUGUGAAGAUGUGCAAUGCUGCAGCAGCCUCAGUUUCCCCCUGUGAAGAUGAGCAAUGCUGCAGCAGCCUCAGUUUCCCCUCCUGUGAAGAUGAGCAAUGUUGCAGCAGCAUCAGUUUCCCCCUGUGAAGAUGUGCAAUGUUGCAGCAGCAUCAGUUUCCCCCUGUGAAGAUGAGCAAUGCUGCAGCAGCCUCAGUUUCCCCCUGUGAAGAUGAGCAAUGCUGCAGCAGCAUCAGUUUCCCCCCUGUGAAGAUGUGCAAUGCUGCAGCAGCCUCAGUUUCCCCCCUGUGAAGAUGAGCAAUGCUGCAGCAGCAUCAGUUUCCCCCCUGUGAAGAUGAGCAAUGCUGCAGCAGCCUCAGUUUCCCCCGUGAAGAUGUGCAAUGCUGCAGCAUUUUAUACUUCUUUGUCCUUUUCCAGAUAUGAAAGGAGACAUCCUUCAGUUUGACACAUUGAUUGUCAAAAAUGCUCUACUUUGGUCAAUCUGAAUGAUUAUGUUGUGCCAUUUGAGUAGAGAGCACCUUGUCAUGACAAAAUAAACCAUAUUAAUAUAUACAAUGUAAUUUGAAACAACAUGUGAAAUUCAAAUGUUUAUGAUAUUGUUAAAUUACUGUAUUUUAAUAUAUAGUUGUAUAGGUGAUAUUAAAAGUAUAUUGUGUGUCAUCUCUGCUUCACCCCAUUGAAUAAAAUGUAUUUCUUAUA